UCUUGUAACACGGACCAAGGAGUCGUCUUCGUAUGCGAGUGUUCGGGUGUCAAACCCCUACGCGUAAUGAAAGUGAACGGAGGUGAGAACCGCAAGGUGCAUCAUCGACCGAUCCUGAUGUCUUCGGAUGGAUUUGAGUAAGAGCAUACGGGGCCGGACCCGAAAGAAGGUGAACUAUGCCUGUAUAGGGUGAAGCCAGAGGAAACUC
rnacentral:rRNA from 13 species